rnacentral:rRNA from 1 species
AACGAACGCUGGCGGCAUGCCUAACACAUGCAAGUCGAACGAGACCUUCGGGUCUAGUGGCGCACGGGUGCGUAACGCGUGGGAACCUGCCCUUAGGUUCGGAAUAACUCCCCGAAAGGGGUGCUAAUACCGGAUAAUGUCUUCGGACCAAAGAUUUAUCGCCUUUGGGUGGGCCCGCGUUGGAUUAGCUAGUUGGUAGGGUAAAAGCCUACCAAGGCGACGAUCCAUAGCUGGUCUGAGAGGAUGAUCAGCCACACUGGGACUGAGACACGGCCCAGACUCCUACGGGAGGCAGCAGUGGGGAAUAUUGGACGAUGGGCGAAAGCCUGAUCCAGCAAUGCCGCGUGAGUGAUGAAGGCCUUAGGGUUGUAAAGCUCUUUUACCCGGGAUGAUAAUGACAGUACCGGGAGAAUAAGCACCGGCUAACUCCGUG